UACGUAGGGGGCAAGCGUUAUCCGGAUUUACUGGGUGUAAAGGGAGCGUAGACGGCUGUGCAAGUCUGAAGUGAAAGGCAUGGGCUCAACCUGUGGACUGCUUUGGAAACUGUGCAGCUAGAGUGUUGGAGAGGUAAGUGGAAUUCCUAGUGUAGCGGUGAAAUGCGUAGAUAUUAGGAGGAACACCAGUGGCGAAGGCGGCUUACUGGACGAUGACUGACGUUGAGGCUCGAAAGCGUGGGGAGCAAACAGG
rnacentral:rRNA from 1 species